ACAGGUGUGUGCCAUCACACUUGGCUAAUGUUUUGAUUUUUUUUGUAGAGUUGGGAAUUUGUUGCCAGGUUGCCCAUGCUGCUCUUGAAAUCCUGGCCUCUAGCAAUCCUCCUACCUUGGUCUUGCUGUUGCUUAAUAACCCUUAUUUGCUUAGAAACAAUGUGCUAUCAGCAAAGGAGUGAAUCUAGAUAGAAAAAUGAAGAGGUACCCGGCCUGGACCCUAAUUUCCCACAGACUAUAUUUCCAGAGAAUGGCCCAGAGAGGCUCCACCCAGAAGGCUGGGAUUCUGUUCACGGAAGCCCUGUGGGUCUUGGCACAGUGAUGCCUGAGAAAUAGUUGAGGCCUCCUGAAAGACUGGCUAGUUGAUUGAUCUUGUGAGAUUACUCAGUAUAACUCCUCUUUUAUUGAGCUUUGUAUCUGCAGUGGAGAAGUGUGUGGGGAAGAAAGGGUUCUAUCGAGAAUUUUCUCCAGAGGCAGAAUAGCACAGACAGUGAUUCUCAAAUGUGUAGUCCAGUAUCAUCAGCAUCACCCUGGAAAAUGCUAGAAAAGUAAAUCCUCAGGACCCAUCCAGGACUACUGAAUCAGAAACUCUGGGAGCAAGGCCCAGCAAUCUGUGUUUUACCAAGCCUUCCAGAUGCUUCUUCAUACUCAGGUUCAAGUGCUGCUGGGAUAUAGCAGUUAAGAGAUGAACCCUGUAGCCAGACUUCCCUUGCUAGAAUCCUGGCACUGUUACUUAUUCCUUGUAUGACUCUAGGUGAGUUGCUUGAUCUCUCUGUGUCUCAGUUUCUCCAACUGUCAAGUGGAGAUAAUGAUAGUACCACCUUCAGAAAGUUGUUAUAAGUAUUAGAUUUGGGAGUACACGUAGAAUAGUGCUUAGGACAUAGUAAAAACUCAAUAAAUAUUAGCCAUUAUUAUUGGAAGACAUGGUGUCAUGGAAGAAUGGGGGGAAUAUCUUUUCCUAGCUGCCCUCUUUUCAUGAGAACCCAAUGAACCUUUCUAGUGUAGCCUUCUCUGAGGAGCAGCUACAGGCUGGAGUUGCUGGGAUAGGGUCAAAACUGAGGCUAUGCUCAAAGCCUUACCUGUUGCUUCAAGGGAGCAACAGAUAUGUUGCCCUAGAAGGAGCUCUAAAUUUUAAAGAACUUUGCUCUCCUUAGCAUUGGUAAGACCAUUUCCUGACCUAAGGGGCAGAAGGUUGAUUCCUUGCCGGAUUUUUCUGGGAGAAACCGUAAGUGUCUAAGAGAAUGCAGGUUAUAAGGAAAUUCACACAGACAUCUCAAAAUAAAAUUCAUUUACAAUUAACUUUAAAUAUUUUAAAAUUUUUUUAUUUAAAAAAUUAAAAGGGGGGCUGGAAGUUGAUUUUGAAUAAUAACUAUACAAAGAGGAGAGGGCAGAGGAAGUUGAGCUGAGCUGUCUGGGGUGCUGUGGCGUGGUGGGCUAGCUACACUAACUGUGGCUGCCGUUUGGGUGCUGCCUGGCUGGCUGGGUCCUUGGCCUUCUCUGUAGCGUCCAGUGCUGUCUCCUUUGCCUUCUCCUUGGCUCCCUUAGCUGUCUUGACAAGUGUUUUGGAAGGGGCCACACUGUGCAGCUUGGCCAAGAUAUAAACCCUUUAUCGUCUUGAUCACAUUGGUUUUGAAUUGGGCGAGACCAAAUUCCUGGACAGCUCUGGAGAUGCUUAAAUAAGCUAUAGGUUACCCAGGCUUUCCAGUGGAUUGGCGUCCAGGUGCUGCUGCCAGAGUUCCCAGAGUAAGCACGUGGUUCCUCCACUACCACAGCCAGAUGUGGUUGAUGUUCCAAGUGAAGUGGUCAUGUCUGAUUCGGUGGCUUCACAGUAGAGUGUUUCAGGAUGGACACUGAGCGAGUGGCACUGGGGAAACAGUGGCUCAGCCCAGCGGGGCGUCUGCUGGUCUUGGUCAGGCCGCCAGGACUGGAGCUCAGGGGUCUCCGCCCCGUGUAAUAUGUUUGCUGUAGGGAUUUGGGUACCGCUGUCAUUAGGCAGCAAACACUUGGUCCCAGGACCUCCGGAGCACGCUCCAGCCCAGGAAGUACUUCACCAUCAUCCUGGCUGGGAUGGGCUUGGCACACAGGCAGCAUCAGAGUGCAGAGGGUGGGGAGUAUGUGGGGUCAGGCCAGGUUGGGCACCCACCCCCGACCAGACCCCACAGCAUGCCCAAGCACCCAUACAGUCAACUUUAAAUUGCAUGUUUGGGGAAAGAGUCCAUACAGAACCAAAUGGCUAUGUGAUGUUAUAACCUCUCCCAUAGUGUGGAGGUCACUGUUGCAACUUUUAAAUGGAAAAUUUUUCCCAGAGUUGCUACAGACACAUGCAUCAGCACAGCCUCAGAACCCACUUUCCAGUCGAGAUAGGUGACAUGGUGAUUCCUCUUCUUCCAAGGUUUGAAACUGUCCCAGGAAGAAAUACAGCUUGACUGAAUUAAAUUGUUUUCAAUAAGAUUUUUAAGAAACCCACCAAAUCAAUUGGGGUUUUACUUUUGGCAGCCCCAGCAGCCAAACUGACUCAUCCUUAUGGCUGAUCCAUUAAGUAAUGCACAAGUAGUUGAUGAGAUGACCAGAAAAAGUGAUUUCGCUAGGGAAAAAUGUUUGGAAUUGAAAGCGGCUGGGAUUUAAGCUCAGGAGCUCACAGGUUCCACCCUAGGACUUAGCAGCCUCAGGGUUCAGGCAGCCACUUACCCUGCUUUUAGCAGGGUCAUUGCCUAGAAGGAUAGGCUAGAACUAGAGCAGGCUGGGUCAGGGUCUUUCUAGCCAAUGUGUAUCUUUGAACCUGUGCAGGCCUCUAGGCUACAGUGUGCAAACUGGUGUCCUGAAGACCAACCCAAGAGCCUUGCAUCUCUCUCUCUUUAUCCUGUUGCAGGUCUGAGAAUCUUUUGAGGCCAAAGAAAAUGAAUUCUAAAGCUCAGGCUUAGAUCCAGCAGCCAGUAUGAAAGCAUGUGCCGUGGAGAUGCAGCGCAGCAUUCCAGGAAUGUGUUCUCUGAGGACCAAGUGCUUUUCUUAUCUCA